rnacentral:rRNA from 1 species
UACGUAGGGGGCUAGCGUUGUCCGGAAUCAUUGGGCGUAAAGAGCGCGUAGGCGGCCAGAUAAGUCCGGUGUGAAAGUCAAAGGCUCAACCUUUGAAUGCCGCUGGAAACUGUCUGGCUAGAGUCCGGGAGGGGCGAGUGGAAUUCCUGGUGUAGCGGUGGAAUGCGCAGAUAUCAGGAGGAACACCUAAGGCGAAGGCAGCUCGCUGGAACGGUACUGACGCUGAGGCGCGAAAGCGUGGGGAGCAAACAGG